rnacentral:rRNA from 1 species
CCUACGGGAGACAGCAGUGGGGAAUAUUGCACAAUGGGGGAAACCCUGAUGCAGCGACGCCGCGUGAGUGAAGAAGUAUUUCGGUAUGUAAAGCUCUAUCAGCAGGGAAGAAGCACGACGGUACCUGACUAAGAAGCCCCGGCUAACUACGUGCCAGCAGCCGCGGUCAUACGUAGGGGGCAAGCGUUAUCCGGAUUUACUGGGUUUAAAGGGAGCGUAGACGGUAUGGCAAGUCUGAAGUGAAAGCCCAGGGCUUAACCCUGGGACUGCUUGGGAAACUGGUAGACUAGAGUGCUGGAGAGGUAAGUGGAAUUCCUAGUGUAGCGGUGAAAUGCGUAGAUAUUAGGAGGAACACCAGUGGCGAAGGCGGCUUACUGGACAGUAACUGACGUUGAGGCUCGAAAGCGUGGGGAGCAAACAGGAUUAGAUACCCUGGUAGUC